rnacentral:rRNA from 1 species
GAUGAACGCUGGCGGUAUGCUUAACACAUGCAAGUCGUACGAAAUACGAUGGGGUUUACUCUAUCGUAUGGCAGUGGCGGACGGGUGCGUAACGCGUAAGAACUUACCUUUUGGCGAGGGACAACCGCGGGAAACUGCGGCUAAUACCUCAUAGAGCUGAGGAGCGAAAGGUGAAAACCACCAAAAGAGAGGCUUGCGUCUGAUUAGCUAGUUGGUGAGGGUAAUGGCCUCCCAAGGCGACGAUCAGUAGCUGGUCUGAGAGGAUGAUCAGCCACACUGGAACUGAGACACGGUCCAGACUCCUACGGGAGGCAGCAGUGAGGAAUUUUCCGCAAUGGGCGAAAGCCUGACGGAGCAAUACCGCGUGGAGGAGGAAGGCCCGUGGGUCGUAAACUCCUUUUCUCAGAGAAGAACACAAUGACGGUAUCUGAGGAAUAAGCAUCGGCUAACUCCGUGCCAGCAGCCGCCGUAAAAC